AUCACCUGGGGAUCUUGUUAACAUUCAGGUUCUGAUUGAGUAGGUCUGGAGGAAAGACUGAGACUCUGAAUUUUUAACAAGCCCCUAGGUGAUGCCAA
rnacentral:pre_miRNA from 1 species